UCACUGCGAGUUUGAGAAUUUUAUAAGUAUAUUGUUAUCUAUUUUGCUAAAUAAUCACCAUUUUAGCUGCUGUCGGGGUUUAUUUGAAAGUGAAACAGACAUAAAAUGUGUUAGCACAAAUAAUGCUAGCUGCUAGAACCACAGCUGGGCGCUGGCUAUGAACAAUAUUGGAGGUGUAUAGAAUCUGAAGCCGUUGGCGAUAGGAAAACUACUAAGUUAAAUGCUAAAUGCAGGUUACGCAGGAAGAUACAAAUAGCUGUAAAAGAGUUGGAGUGGAAGAGCAUUUAAUAAAAUUUAAACCAUCGCCAAAUUUUAAAAAUAUGAAAAAAUUCAUAAAGUCGCGUUCGGAGACCACCACUUCGGGAGCUCCUGUACCAGUUGCGCUGAGUGCCCCGGUUCCACCGCCACCUCCAAACUUGAGCAGAAUGGAUCUUCGUCCGGACUGGCAGAGGCCUGAAGUUCAGCCUCCUUUGCCUACGUAUCCCCCACCACAAGACUUCAUCCCUAAUCUUCAAGUCAAAGAAGAAGUCGUGGAUACAGAAUAUGAGACCAACAAUGUCUCUCAGGCACAAGGAGGCCAAGAAGAAACCCCUUCAGACCAAAACAGUGAACAGUCCAGUAGCGAAAUAUGCAGGGAUUUCAUACGGGGAACCUGCAAAAGAGAAGGGACCUGUAAAUAUGCCCACAAACAUGAUUUAUCACAACUGGAAGGAGUGUACACCUUCUGCAGAAAGUUUCAAAAUUCAGUGUGCACUUUUGCAAAUUGCAAGUAUGUGCAUGCCACUGUGUUUGAAGAGCAGAAUUUCUACAGGACUGGAGUUUUGCCCGCGCAUGCUUUGCACCACAAAGUGAAUAACAUGCUACAGCCCCCUCCACCGCCUCCACCUGAAGAACCUGUAGCGCCAUUCAACGUAGACUUUUCGAAUCCACCACCUAUUUUACGAACCGAAACAGAAAAACCGAUGAUAAGUUGUAUUCCGGAAAGUUCCAUGGCAAGUUCUACGGCAAGUUCUAUGGAGGCACCAUGUUACAUGGGAGAAAUACAUAACCAAAUGCCUUUGCCUACACAAACUCAAAUGUCUUCCUUAAAACGGGAUUGGAAUAACAUGGAGGCAUACGCAGCGCCACCGUGCGACGACGCCUACACUGAACCACUGGCAAAAAAAUGCAAACAUUGUUAUUUCACGGAGUUCAGGUUGGAGCACAAUAAGACCAAGUUAAAAAAAAUGAUCCAGAAAAAGGAGCAGAUGAGCAAGAAAAUGGCGCAGUUGGAUAAGCAGACCGAAAAGCUUCGCAGUCUCAUAUCGGAGUUGCUCAGACCCACGAUAUCAUCCAAGGCACAGCCCCACAAUAUGAAUGGCCCCUCUGUAGAUAGAGACACAACUAUUCAGAUGAUGCUAGAACAGCUGAAAAACUUUUUGGGUGACGAUAAAUAAUAUUUAAGGUGGCAAGUGACGAUGCAGUGUAUGAUGGAAGCGGGCUAACCUGGAAGGGAAUUGAACGGACUGAACGAGUCCUUUGGGAAGUUUGAUGACCGCCCCGCUAUAGGUGUUACCGACAGUCCUCUGUGCAGGGCCUGCA